GCACUCGUAGCCCAGUGGUUAGGCGACGCACGUACACAGAUACCUGUAUGUGGUAAUCCGGAGAUCUUAGAUCAAAUCCGAGCGAGAUGCG